rnacentral:lncRNA from 1 species
AGUUAAAAUUUGAUAAAUAGACUCAUACCACCAAUAAAUAUUUAAAUUUAAAAUAUAAAUAUAAAUUUUAUUUGAUUUAAUGUGACGUGCAUUAUAUAUAUAUACUAGUUGAAUAUACGUGCAAAUGCACGUAACAAUUAUUAUAAUUUAUUUCAAAUCAAUAUAAAUUUGUAUAUUAUAUAUAUUCAAAAUUUUACAAUAAAAAUUAUACUUAUAAAUUAAUAUGUUAUAUUUUAUUAGAAAAUAUUUAUAAUAUCCUACAGUGUUCUUUUUUUUUAUAUAUACAUCGAAUAUUUUUAUAUACUUUUUGAUUUUUGAUGAAUCAAAUUUAAAUAUGUGUUUUAAAUUAAAAGCAUCAAAAUUUAAUUUAUAUUUAUUUUAAAAUUUAAAUUUAAAUUUUGAUUCACUGUAAUAAAAAAAUUAAUUGUUAAUUCAAAUAUGAUAUCAAAAAUUAAAUUUAAUUCAUAAUUUAAAUUCAAAUUUUAAUUUUAAUGUAAAAUAGAUUAAUAGAAAUGCUUUUUUUUUAACAAAUUGAUCAUAACCAUUUAUUUUUAUUUGAGAUAUUUUUAACAAAUUGAUUAUAAUUAUAUGAUUAAAUUUAUAGAUAGAUAGGAAUACUAUUUUUUAAUAAAUUGAUCAUAACUGUUCUUAUUUGAGAUAUUUUUUUAAUAAAUUGAUCAUAACCAUUUAUAGGGAAUAGAUUUUUAUAUAUAGUAAAGAUUUAAUAGAUUGAUCAUAACCGUUCAUUUUUAUUUGAAAUGUUUUUAACAAAUUAAUCAUAACCAUUCGUAGGGAAUAUUAUUUUAUUUCUUUUUGGAUUCCGUCUGUCAUUGUCAGAAUUUCCAUACGCUUAUAUAUAUAUAUAUAUAUAUAUAUCAAUUUAACUGGGGAUUAUUAUCAUCCUAACCGCAUAUUCUUUCAUUCAAUUGCCAAAAACUCAAUAGUACCAAGGGUUUGGUACUAUUGAUAUUGAUUCACUAAGGUUUAGUGGUGGUCUCUCUAGUGUUGAGUGGGUGGUUAGUUGAAUAGUAUGAUCUAAAGUGUGGAAUUGAUUAAAGUGUAAAUCUAACGGUUAAAAAGUUGACAACAAAAGAACCCAAAUACCACUAAUAGUAUUCCAGCUCAACUCUAUAUCACUUUCUCUCUCUAUAGAGAGAGAGAGAGAGAGAGAGUCUAGCUACUAUAUUCUUAUAGGUCCCUUAAUUUACUUAUAAAUUUUUUGUCGAUAGAUUUAUCCCUUUGACCAUUUUUAUCCGUUAAAUCGUAUUAUUCAACUAACUACCAAUUCAACCCUAGAAGACAACUAUUAUCCUAAUCGGGAAUCACUAUUAUCCUAAUCAUACAUUUCUUUAUCCAACGGUCGAAAACUUAUAAAUAUAAAAGGCUCUAUACUCAUAAGAGUAUAGUAGCCCUAACUUAUAUAUAGAAUACUCAAUAUAUUUAAGCUAUAUUAAACUGAACAUUAGUGAGCUGACUCGAGCUCGUGUUCGACUCGUUAAGAUUUCGAGCUAAAAAAUUCAAAUCGUAUUCGGCUCUUUUAUUAAAUGACCGAUUGAACUCGAACUCAUCUCAAGUUGAAUGCUAACGGGCUCGCAAACAACAAACUGGAUUGCUAACCCCCGAUAUUGAGGUUCAUGUAACAGUACACUAGCAGAUGAAACAAAAUUGUGAUGAAAAUAUAUACGCAAAU